rnacentral:rRNA from 1 species
CCUACGGGAGGCAGCAGUGGGGAAUAUUGGGCAAUGGGCGCAAGCCUGACCCAGCCACGCCGCGUGAAGGAAGAAGGCCCUCGGGUUGGAAACCUCCUUUGUCAGGGAAGAGUAGAAGACGUUACCUGAUGAAUAAGCCACGGCUAACUACGUGCCAGCAGCCGCGGUCAUACGUAGGUGGCAAGCGUUGUCCGGAUUUACUGGGGUUAACGGGCGUGUAGCCGGGUUGACAAUUCAGAUGUGAAAUCCUGCGGCUUAACCGCAGAACUGCAGUUGAAACUGGUGAUCUUGAGUACUGGAGAGGCAGACGGAAUGCCUGGUGUAGCGGUGAAAUGCGUAGAUAUUAGGAAGAACACCGGUGGCGAAGGCAGUAUGCUGGAGAGCAACUGACGGUGAGGCACGAAAGCGUGGGGAGCGAACAGGAUUAGAUACCCGGGUAGUC